rnacentral:lncRNA from 1 species
UUGAACGAUCUCGCUCCGGCGCCCUUCCUCGGGAGGUCAAGGGUUCGAGGGCCAACUCUGGCGGAUGUUGUUCUUGAGGGCCUACGGGUCCAAUACGGACACUUCCAACUGCGCGUGGCCACUGGGUCCAUUACAUGAGGCUGCCCAGCUCUCGUGGAUGCCUUCGGCGGGCUCCGGUCGGGCCCUUAGUGGUUCAGAUUCUGCCGGACGGUCAUUAGGCGCUAGUCGGAUCCCCUCGGGCAUUCGGAUACCACGAUUAUCAAAAAUGUGUGUGUUGGUUGGAUUUGAAAAAAUUUAAAAGGGAAGAAUGUAUAUUAACCACGCGUUAGUGGUCCAGUGGUGGUUGAACGAUCUCGCUCCGGCGCCCUUCCUCGGGAGGUCAAGGGUUCGAGGGCCAACUCUGGCGGAUGUUGUUCUUGAGGGCCUACGGGUCCAAUACGGACACUUCCAACUGCGCGUGGCCACUGGGUCCAUUACAUGAGGCUGCCCAGCUCUCGUGGAUGCCUUCGGCGGGCUCCGGUCGGGCCCUUAGUGGUUCAGAUUCUGCCGGACGGUCAUUAGGCGCUAGUCGGAUCCCCUCGGGCAUUCGGAUACCACG